ensembl:snRNA U1 U1 spliceosomal RNA
AUAUAUACCUGUCAGGGGAGAUAUAAUUAUCACCAGGGUGGUUUUUCCAGAGUAAGUCUUACCCUCUGUACUGCCAAUAUGCUGACCUGUAAUUUUCCAAAUGGGGGAAAACCCGACUGCAGAAUUUGUGGUGAGGUGGGAGGACUGUGUUCAUACUUUCUCCUG